AGAUCGCCACGGGACGGGAGUCCGCCUUAGGUUGUAGGCUCCGUUCGAUCAUAAGCAGCUACGCGUGGUUCCUAUGGAUGACCGGCGGCGUCGAGACCUGCCUCAUGGACACCGGCAGGCAGAGCGACGGCAACGACGCGGAUUGAACCGCGCAGCUAGCGCCCUUGGGAUCGGAGACACAAUCCAAAAGCAGACAAGAAAAAGACGACGACGCGACGACCUUACCUUUACCACCGGCAAGUGCCCCGGCCGGCCGGCGGGCCGGCCAUUUAGAUGGCGCGUCUAGGUAUCGCCGUACGUCGUGCCGCAUGCAUGCAUGCCCGGCGGCGCAAGAUGGCUAUGCAGCAAGCGUAGUAUAUAUCAUCCAUGAGCAGCGCCGGCCGUUGUAGAUAGGUGCAAGUUUUCCAGUGUGCUAGAUGAAUGCGCGUCAAGGAGCCACAGCCAGCCCAUGCAGGGCCAGGAGGCGAACAAUAAUAAUGUUGGCAAAGCUGCUAGCGCAUGUUAGAGCGUGUGAUGAAUAGUACUAUAGUAGUAUGUGGAAUAAAAUCAUCCGUCGUGAGAUAGUAGCAAUGCUGUUAUAUAUAACUGCGUUUGUGAGCAACAACAACAAUAUAUAUAUCUGUGUUUUUAUAUAUCUAGAUGUGGUGUUUG
rnacentral:lncRNA from 7 species